GUAGCCUCAUGGCCUUUUGGCUCAAAUCAAGUGUAGUAUCUGCUCUUAUCAGUUUAAGAUCUGAUAAGUCCUCUGUCCAGGAAAAACAUAUUAAACAGGUUUUGGAGCAGGGAGGUGGAGUUGGAGCCCCAUGCACUGACCCAGUACUACAGUGCCUCCAGGAACACGGUAGCCCUC
rnacentral:snRNA from 1 species